AGAGUUUGAUCAUGGCUCAGGAUGAACGCUGGCGGUAUGCCUAACACAUGCAAGUCGUACGAGAGUUUUUAACUCUAGUGGCGGACGGGUGAGUAACACGUGAGAAUUUGCCUUUAGGAGGGGGAUAACAAUUGGAAACGAAUGCUAAUACCCCAUAUGCUUUUGAGUGAAACGGAUUUAUCCGCCUAGAGAGAAGCUCGCGGCUGAUUAGCUUGUCGGUAAGGUAAGAGCUUACCAAGGCGACGAUCAGUAUCUGGUUUGAAAGGACGAUCAGACACACUGGAACUGAGACACGGUCCAGACUCCUACGGGAGGCAGCAGUGGGGAAUUUUCCGCAAUGGGCGAAAGCCUGACGGAGCAAUACCGCGUGAGGGAAGACUGCCUAUGGGUUGUAAACCUCUUUUUUCAGGGAGGAAUAAAUGACGUGUACCUGAAGAAUAAGCAUCGGCUAACUCCGUGCCAGCAGCCGCGGUAAGACGGAGGAUGCAAGUGUUAUCCGGAAUCACUGGGCGUAAAGCGUCUGUAGGUGGCCUAAUAAGUCAACUGUUAAAUCUUGAGGCUCAACUUCAAAAUCGCAGUCGAAACUAUUAGACUAGAGUAUAGUAGAGGUAAAGGGAAUUUCCAGUGGAGCGGUGAAAUGCGUAGAUAUUGGAAAGAACACCGAAGGCGAAAGCACUUUACUGGGCUAUUACUAACACUCAGAGACGAAAGCUAGGGUAGCAAAUGGGAUUAGAUACCCCAGUAGUCCUAGCCGUAAACAAUGGAUACUAGAUGUUGAACAGAUCGACCUGUGCAGUAUCAAAGCUAACGCGUUAAGUAUCCCGCCUGGGAAGUAUGCUCGCAAGAGUGAAACUCAA
rnacentral:rRNA from 1 species